GGAAUCUUAGACAAUGGGGGCAACCCUGAUCUAGCCAUGCCGCGUGAGUGAUGAAGGCCCUAGGGUUGUAAAGCUCUUUCAGUCGUGAAGAUAAUGACGGUAGCGACAGAAGAAGCCCCGGCUAACUCCGUGCCAGCAGCCGCGGUAAUACGGAGGGGGCUAGCGUUGUUCGGAAUUACUGGGCGUAAAGCGCGCGUAGGCGGACUGGAAAGUUGGGGGUGAAAUCCCGGGGCUCAACCCCGGAACGGCCUCCAAAACUAUCAGUCUGGAGUUCGAGAGAGGUGAGUGGAAUUCCGAGUGUAGAGGUGAAAUUCGUAGAUAUUCGGAGGAACACCAGUGGCGAAGGCGGCUCACUGGCUCGAUACUGACGCUGAGGUGCGAAAGCGUGGGGAGCAAACAGGAUUAGAUACCCUUGUAGUCC
rnacentral:rRNA from 1 species